AUGGAAAACAUGGUGCAAGACUUUGAUGAUGCUCGGGAUUCGGACGAGGAGAUGGAGGAAUCUGGAAAGGCCUUCAAUGAAAUGUUGGAGUCUUCAAAACGUCCGCUACAUGAGCACACUGAGCUUUGUCAGUUGGAUGCCAUCUCACAAGUAAUGGCUCUGAAGGCUCAGUUCAACUUGGGCAGAGAAUGCUACGAUGCAAUGAUGACAGUAUUUGGACGCUUUCUACCCAAAGGCCAUGUAAUGCCUGCAAACCUAUACCAGUCGGACAAAAUCCUCCGUGCACUGAAGAUGCCCUAUGAUAAGAUACAUGCCUGUGAGAAAGGAUGUGUCUUGUUUAGGCUUGACUAUGCGGACUUGAACUAUUGUCCCAUUUGCAAGUCUUCCAGGUAUGUUGUGGUAGACAACGGUAUGGGUGAGAAGACACAGACCAAAAUCCCCGUUAGCGUUCUUCGGUAUAUGCCAAUCGUACCAAGACUUCAACGUCUUUUCAUGGUCGAAGAGACGGCCAGACAGAUGACAUGGCACAAAACGGGCAAAAGAACCGAACUAGAUGCAGAUGGGAAUCUGAUGAUUGUACACACAUCGGAUGGUGUUGCGUGGAAAAAGUUUGAUGAAUUACAUGGUGACAAAGCGGCAGAUCCGAGGCAUCCUCGAGUCGGCAUCAGCACGGAUGGGUUCAGUGUGUUUGGUAUGACGGCAGCCCAAUACAGUUGUUGGCCCGUAUUUGUCUUUCCACUCAAUCUCCCCCCCGGACAGAUUAUGCAAAGAAAGAACAUUUUCCUGACGUUGAUAAUUCCAGGGCCAAACUAUCCGGGGAAAAAUAUGAAUGUGUACAUGCAACCGCUUAAGGACGAAUUGCAAGAAGCCUGGGAUAAUGGGUUCAAGACAUACGAUGCCUAUAGCAAACGGAACUUCAUAAUGCGUGUCUGGUACACGUACUCGACGCAUGACUUGCCGGCGUAUGCGCUAUUCGUUGGCUGGUGUGUGCAUGGAAGGUUCCCGUGCCCCACAUGCAAGGGAGCUCUUGAGUUUCGUUGGCUUCAGGCCAGUCGCAAGUUUUCUUGCUUCGACAUGCAUAGACAGUUCCUGAAUCCUCGCCAUAAGUUCAGGAAAGACAAGAAGAACUUCAUCAGAGGUAGAGUUGUCAAAAACUCUGCACCACAUGCAUUGACAGGCCAACAGACCCUGGAUCAGUUAAACACUCUCGAGCCAGAUCCAGAGCGUCCAGGGUACUUCAAGGGGUAUAAUUCUAAGCACGCCUGGACUCACAAAACAUGCUUAUGGGAUCUGCCUUACUUCAAAGACCUCCUUUGCCCACACAACAUCGACGUGAUGCACACUGAGAAGAAUAUUGCCGAGGCACUUUUUGGUACAUUGUUCGGCAUAGAUGGGAAGUCAAAGGAUAAUACUAAGGCUAGAGUCGAUCUGGAGGCGCUAUGUGAUAGGCCGUUACAAAACAUGAAAGAACCAAAAGUAAAGCAGAACUGGACGAAGCCAAAGGCAUGGUUCAAUCUUGGAAGGCCAGCUAUGAGGGAAAUUAUCUUGUGGGUGAAAAUGCAGUUGAUGUUCCCCGAUGGGUAUGCAGCGAAUCUACAGAGGGGAGCCAGUCUUGAUUUGGUCUCAAGAGUCAUGAUUGGCACAUAUGGAUUGAGCGGGUAA
rnacentral:rRNA from 1 species